AUUGAACGCUGGCGGCAUGCUUUACACAUGCAAGUCGAACGGUAACAGGCCGCAAGGUGCUGACGAGUGGCGAACGGGUGAGUAAUGCAUCGGAACGUGCCCAGUCGUGGGGGAUAACUACUCGAAAGAGUAGCUAAUACCGCAUACGAUCUAUGGAUGAAGGCGGGGGACCGUAAGGCCUCGCGCGAUUGGAGCGGCCGAUGUCAGAUUAGGUAGUUGGUGGGGUAAAGGCUCACCAAGCCAACGAUCUGUAGCUGGUCUGAGAGGACAACCAGCCACACUGGGACUGAGACACGGCCCAGACUCCUACGGGAGGCAGCAGUGGGGAAUUUUGGACAAUGGGCGCAAGCCUGAUCCAGCAAUGCCGCGUGCAGGAAGAAGGCCUUCGGGUUGUAAACUGCUUUUGUACGGAACGAAACGGCUCUGGUUAAUACCCGGGGCUAAUGACGGUACCGUAAGAAUAAGCACCGGCUAACUACGUG
rnacentral:rRNA from 1 species